CAGUCGCCGCGGGAAUACGAAGGGUGCAAGCGUUAAUCGGAGUUACUGGGCGUAAAGCGUGCGUAGGCGGUGAGUUAAGUCUGCUGUGAAAUCCCCGGGCUCAACCUGGGAAUGGCAGUGGAUACUGGCUCGCUAGAGUGUGUCAGAGGAUGGUGGAAUUCCCGGUGUAGCGGUGAAAUGCGUAGAGAUCGGGAGGAACAUCAGUGGCGAAGGCGGCCAUCUGGGACAACACUGACGCUGAGGCACGAAAGCGUGGGGAGCAAACAGGAUUAGAUACCCCCGUAGUCCCUGUCUCUUAUAC
rnacentral:rRNA from 1 species